UCGGGAAUUUUGGGCAAUGGGCGAAAGCCUGACCCAGCAACGCCGCGUGAAGGAUGAAAUCCCUCGGGAUGUAAACUUCGCAAGAACGGGAAGAAUAAGUAAGAGUUAAUAUCUCUUAUGAUGACGGUACUGUUUGUAAGCUCCGGCUAACUCCGUGCCAGCAGCCGCGGUAAUACGGGGGGAGCAAGCGUUGUUCGGAUUUACUGGGCGUAAAGGGCGCGUAGGCGGCCACCGCAAGUCGACUGUGAAAUCUCCGGGCUUAACCCGGAAAGGUCAGCCGAUACUGCGGGGCUAGAGUGCAGAAGGGGCAACUGGAAUUCUCGGUGUAGCGGUGAAAUGCGUAGAUAUCGAGAGGAACACCUGCGGCGAAGGCGGGUUGCUGGGCUGACACUGACGCUGAGGCGCGAAAGCUAGGGGAGCGAACGGGAUUAGAUACCCCGGUAGUCCUGGCCUUAAACGAUGAAUGCUUGGUGUCUGGGGUUUUAUAGUCCCCGGGUGCCGUCGCUAACGCUUUAAGCAUUCCGCCUGGGGAGUACGGUCGCAAGACUGA
rnacentral:rRNA from 1 species